AUGUGGAAAGCACAUAGUAUACAUACAGAGUCACUAUAAAUAUUAGUAUAAAGUGCAUUUUUUUUUUAAUUUUAAAUAACAUGGAUGUACAAUCAGUUAAUACCCGAAGAAAAGUAUUAAAUCAUGUUGUUUGUAGUAUUUUAGUAGAAUGUGGUUAUGAUACUUGUGAAAAACAAGUGUUAGAAACUCUAACAGAGAUGCUUCAAUCUUUUAUCGUGGAAGUUGGACAAUCUGCAAGAAAUUAUUGUGAACUUUCUGGAAGAACAGAACCUCUAAUUGCAGAUGUUAUAUUAGCAUUAGUAAAUAUGGGAAUAAGAUUAGAAAAUUUAGAAAGUUAUGGAAAGAGAUCAAAUAGAACAGUUUUACCUCCAUUACAACAACAAACUCAGUCAAAACAAUUAAAUAUUUUACAAGCUGGUGUAAAACAAAGUCAUCCCUCACAUAUACCAAAUUAUUUACCAGCUUUUCCAGAUCCACAUGCAUAUAUCAGAACACCUACACAUAAACAACCAGUAACUGAAUAUGAAGCUAUAAGAGAAAAAGCUGCUACACAAAAACGAGAUAUCGAAAGAGCCUUAACAAGGUUUAUUGCAAAAACUGGAGAAACGCACAGUUUAUUUUUAACAGAAGAUAACAGCAUGUUUCCUUUAAUAGCUUGUAAACCACAAUUUCCUAGUUAUCUGUCUGCACUUUUACCUCAAGAUCAAAUAUUUGAAACAGAUCAAGACUUUCAAUUUGAACCAACACCAGUUAAAAAGAAAAAAGAACAGAAAGCAGAAGAAAAAGAGGAAGGAGCUAAUGUAAAAAGUGAAGGUGCAGAACAAACUAAUGAGGCUACUACACAGCAAGAUGGUAUAGAUAAUCCUUACUUACGUCCUGGAAAAAUACCUAAAAACAAGAUACCUGGUGCCAUAGCUCCUUCGCAGCAUUUAAUAAAAAGAGAUGCUUUUGUCGAUACUUAACAACUUUACAAAUAUCUCAGGCAACUAUAAUAUUGCACGAGUUAGCACCAGUUGAACGAUGUUAAUGUAAAUACUAUCAAACUCUGGAGGACUUUUCUUAUAUUUUUCUAAACCUAUACAUUUAUUCAGUGCUAAUGCAAUAAAUAACAUUGCAAAUUUGUGUGUUUGCGUAUCAAGAGAUGCUAAAUUGGCAUGCAUUUAACGAAAUAAUUUCGAAUAUUAAUUUAAAAAAGGUAAUUAAAUUAAAGAAGAUAACAAAUGACGAAAAGAGA